UGGGCAGCCACCAUGCCUGAGCCUUUGGAGGGGGCUUUCCAGAGUGGGGGCGCCUUACACCCCUACCUGUUGGAUCUAGAUUUCUCCACAGCUUCUGCCGACAGCUGUCUCUGCCACGGUGUGAUCUGCGUUUCCUUCGGGGCACAGGGGCGCCAAGGUCUUUGUGCAUCUUCCCUGGAAAAGCGAUUCAGAGGUGAACAGAGGCUCCAAGAGGAAACCCACAUUUUGCUUCUGGGAGAGCACCUGGGCUCUCUUCAGGGAGUAGGAUUUUGCGUGUUGAGGUAGGAGGGCUGUGCACCCCUGGGCAACACAGACGGAGUCAGGAUCCAGCCUCUCAACUGGCACCUGUGUCCUUUGUGGUAGGCCAGAAUGCUCUGGCUGGGGCGGAAUGUCUCUUCUGUGUGGCUGCUCUGCACGGUUUCUGCUUGUCUUUCUUGCUCUGUGUUGACAGCUGGAGCCUUAAUUGUGAUGUCCAAGGUAGAAAUACCCAGCAUCCCUGCGUCACUCCAAAGCUGGUGGGAGUUGGUCCACGCCUCUCUGCUAAUGCUGGGCUGAGGCAGAAACGCCUGGAGCAGAAAUGAAUCACAGUUUUCACGGUGGAGUGGCAUCCAGUGACUGAUCACUGACUGUGGAACUGUGUGAGGAAUUGGCUGUUACAGGACCAGAACAAAGAAUCAGCCAAAGGGAACUCCUCCUGGAUGGCUGCUUUCAUUUCCGGACCUCUCCUGUGCGGUGCUGCGGUGUAUGAUGGGACCUAACACAGCGCUCUGCACGGUCCGGGUCACCAGGAGGCUGCACUGUCCCUCACCUUCCUGCACUGAAGGUCGUGAGUCCGAGAGGCAGAAAGAGUCCACACAUCCUGCCAGGGCUGUGAGUCUGCACCAUCAUUAAACAGAAGGUCAUUAAGUGAGGAACACCUGCAAUAUUCCAAAGGGAAACAUCCAGCAAAUGCUCCUGAUGUCCUUUGUGAUGGUCCCUGAUACAGGGUUUUGAGAGUGACUAUUUCCUUUGUCUCUUUAUAAAAGCCCUGCGGGGUCUGAAGUUGUCCUGCACCCCAUGAACAGGCAGAGCUGCUGGUGCAGAAAGCAGUUACACCCUGAGCCCAGGCUCCUCCACUUACCCCUGCCGGCCCCUCUCUCCCCCUGCAUGGAGUGACUCCUGCUUGCCGCCCUGGCUCUACUAGUUUCCUGGUCUGUGUGUUACACCUGCAGUGAGCUCUCUCCUGAGACACACAUGAGGUGUCAGGAGAAUCUCAGUGGAGCCACACUCACUGUUCUCAGGAUAAUAUAACCUAACACACACUUAAAAGUAAAUUCUACUGAUUUCCAUCCUAAAACAAAGUGGUGGUGCAUGCAUGGAAUCCUAGCACUCAGCAUUCAGGAGGCUGAGGCAGGAAGACUGCUACACGUUGGAGGCCAGCUUGGGCUGCAAAGUGAGGUCAAGGCCAACCUGAACUGCAUAGUGAGACCCUGUCUUAAAAAGACAAAAAAAAAAAAAAAAAAAAACAUAAAAUAAAAUAUGAAUAUAUUUACAUGAAAUUUAGAGACUUCCACAGGUUCCUGGAGUGGGUCCUAUGUUGAGACUUUCCUGAACUUUUUGAACUAUUUCUACCAGGAACGGCACUCUGAAGACUAUCCUUAUAAAGAGGAUAGUCUUCACAUUUAGGAUUCUUUCUCAGAUGACAGUCUUCUUGUGGACUUAAAAAAUAAUCAUCAAAGAUAGGACUUAAGAUGUACCUUUAUCACUUGACUCAAAGUACUGAGUGUUGAUAGAAAGCCUGAGUUGUUGUAAAGAGAGAAGCAAGGACUCACCUGGGGUGAGGGUGACCCCGGGGGUCUGCGGUGUAUGAGGGUGACACACACCCUCCAUGGGCCAAUCCUGCUGGGCCCUGGCACCUAGGAGAAAGUCCCUGGUAGGUGAUCUGCAGGGAGAACAGGACAACGCGCCUAGGACUCAGCCACCCCGUCCAGCCUGACUCCCCACGCCAGAGUGCACAGAAACUGCGCCGCCAGCUCAGCCAGAAACGCCCUGCGUGGAUUUGGACCCUGCUGGCGGCUGAGGCUCGCUGCAGCUUGCUGACAUUCGGUGGGACCCGGCGCCCCCUUGUGGGUAUGCAUGAGGUUGCAGAGCUUUGGUCAGUGGUUGUGGAGGAAAAUGAAUUCUCAAAAUAGACCAGGAGAAUCCCAUUUUCCUUAUGGAAAUUAGAGUGGAAACUCCUCGCCCUCUGCGCACUAUUACAAACUGUGAACGUUCUCAUGGAUGCUCUCGUUUCAGAUCGGUCUUGGCCCUACACCAUGGCAGGUGUAAGAGGAGGCUUUGUGGACUCACUCACUCAGGAAAGUAGCUUUCCCUUGCCCUGGCCUCUCUUAGAAGAAUUCGCCCCUCCCUUCCUCCUCUUCCUUCCCACAGGACUAGGCUCUGGUGCCCCAGGGUGCACAUAACAAGAUCUGUAAGCCCCAGCCUGCCCUCUUCUUCGCUGUGGCAUGAGGGUGGACCUGGCCUGCUCUCCAGGGACCUGAGACCAGUUAGCCUGGGUGACACAGCUCUCAGCUAGUGGUCCCUGGCAUGUCCUUCCUCCACCUUGAGCUCUGUGGUAAGCUAGUGGUCCCUGGCAUGUCCUUCCUCCACAUCGAGCUCUGUGGUAAACUCAUCUCCUGGGGCCGUUCCACAGCAGCCUCUCCCUGUCAUUCCAUGCUGCGGUUCAUUAUGCACAUAGUUGCUUGUUUCCAAACUGCUGUCCUGUCUGUGUGUGCUCCAGGCAGAAGGGUCUGGUCUGCAUCCACAGGCUGCCCACCUUGUAGGAGGCCAUCUGUCAUAAAGGGUUCCUGCCAUCCCACCUUGGGGACCCAGGCUGCUCCUGUCACAGGAUGGUAAGAUUUCUUUAUGUGAACUACAAUUCUUACUGGAGCACAAGCUCUGUGCCUCCUUGGGGCAUCUUCUCCGAGGAGGGAUGCUUCAGGCAGGAGGAAGGUGGACCCCCAGCCAGGCUUCAGUGCUGCCUUCCAGCCCUGCCCCUCCCCAGUGCUCACUAUAGGAUCCAUUUGCAUCUGUGGGUAAUGGCCAGGACCAAGAGGAGGACCAGGCUGUGAACAGCCCAUUGUGGUCAGCCUCAAACAUGAUACCAGCUUCCCAAAACACAGGCUGUGAUGCUGCACCUUAAGUAUGAGGGAGGCCAGUUCCUCAGCUUCUUGUCUACUGCCUGCCUGCCUUCCUUCCGAGAUCCUUUGGUUUCUUUCAUUAUACUGAGGUAGAGAUAGGCUAUUUAUGGGGAGGCAAUAAGCAUGAGGUAAAGAUAAUGUUGGCUGAAUACUGGCCCUGAAUUAAUCCACCUCUUCUUACUACCAACUAUACCUGUAUUGGAGUGCAGAAAACUUACUGGACUUGCUAACUAGCAUGCUUCUCUGGCAGUCAGCGAGUUACUGAGCACGCACUUUGGGAUGAAUGGUGCAUCCAGGAGUUGAAAACCCAGAGCAGCUACAGUGGCCUAGCACAGCUGGUGCAGGAGCUGCCUGUGGAGGAGACUGGUCCUCCUUCCUCACAUCAAGCUCUGUGGCAAACGCAUCUCCUGGGCUGUUCUGCAGCAGCCUCUCCCAGUCAUUCCAUACUGCGGUUCAUUAUGCACAUAGCUGCUUGUUUCUAAACUGCUGUCCUGUCUGUGUGUGCCCCAGGCAGAAGGGCCUGGUCUGCAUUCACAGGCUGCCCACCUUGUAGGAGGCCAUCUGUCAUAAAGGGUUCCUGCCAUCCCACCUUGGGGACCCAGGCUGCUCCUGGCACAGGAUGGUGAGAUUUCUCUAUGUGAACUACAAUUCCUGCUGGAGCACAGGCUCGGCACUGCUGAGGAUCCUAGUGCUUCUGGGAGUCUGAGGUUCUCUGCAGAGCAUUUAGGUUUGAAUUACAGCAAUUUCAAUCUUUGUGUAUAAGGCUGGGCUUUAUUAAAUUUUAUAUCACACACUUCCAAAGUUGUAUCUUGGAAAAUUGCACAAACCUGACUCCACUGCCAGACUAGAGGCAUAAUGCUCGUUCAGGGAGGCACAGAUUAUUCUAUGUUUGUAGUGCAGACGGUCUCGGUGCGUGCAUCAUUUCAGAAGAGUCACUUUUGAUCUGCUAUGGCUUUUAUCUGGAUGACCUUCCAAAGCCUCACGCACCCACAGCUUCUGGAAUAACUGGGUCCUGGGUGGGUGAAACUGGGUUACUUCCCUGACUGGUGUAGCAGACCCACAAUGGGUGUGAGUGGCACCAACCAAAAGGCUUUCAGCCAGGAUGCAACAGUCUCUGUUCCAUCUGGGAAGGAGGAGGAUGUCCCGCCUGCUGCUCUCUGAGCUCUUUCUCCUCUGUGAUGUGCAUCUGCCAUCCCACCCUCCCCUGGAGCCAGAGGAGUGCGACUGAAACCUCUACAAACUGUGAGUUAGAAGCAACCAUUUGCCCUUUAACUUGUGGCAUUGGGUAUUUUGUCCAAGCAGUGAUAAAGGAGCUAAGUCUGCACCCUAGUGGAGGCUAGCUUCACUCUAGGGAUCCUGUAGCAUGGAGGAAGGCGAAACCAGAGGCUUCCCAUCCAGACUUAUGGCCCCGUUGGCUCCAGUCAGGUGAUGUCUGCUGAGGUGGUUGGGAUACAGGAUGGAAAAGUGGCUUUUCAUCAGGAGAGCAUGGGCAAGGGCUUUGAGUUCCCACAGUCUUCAUUCUACACAUGUGACACCUGCCGUGAUGUUGGAGCAAGGUCAUUAUCUGGCAAUUUAGUGCCCUAAUCAGAGCCCAGCCUUUUACUCUGAAGGAGAAAAGCACCAGCAUUCAAGUGGAUUAGCUUUUUACUAUAGCUAAUAAGUAUAGUCUGGUAAUGUCAGACAGAUGCCCCCCUUUUAACAGAACAACCUAGUUAUUGUUACUACUAUUCAGUGGCUUCUAAGGUCUAGCUGACAAACCCCACAUUCUCAGUGGAACUGAUGGUCUCAUGAUGUUGGUUGUCUAGUGAAUGGUGUCUCAAGUACAGGAAAUGUGUGGACGCUGCAUGGUGGGGUGCUCAGUCCUGUGCGUUCAGUAAACUCCAAUUUGCACCAGCCGAUGUCUUUAACAUAAGCUGGCUGGUGACCAGGACCUUCUUCCUUUGUGAACUGCCAGUGACCCUCCUCUUGCUAAGGUGCUGAGGUUUCAGCAGCUGGGGAUGGUGUGUGGCUGGGUGCCUAUGUUUUAAAAUACCUGUUGUAUAAAUUCAUACAGGGAAUUUUCAGGUACCUGUCAUUCCACAGGUGCCUGGGGACUUUGUGUGAGUGAACAGGGCACUCUUGUCCCUGGCAUCUCCACAGGAGGUCUGUAUGUGAGAGACCCUCUGAGUGCACUCACGUCCUGACGGGGGCACCUUGUUGGUAGCCACCCCAUCACUGGAAAGGAGGAACUCUUACUGUGACCUGGGAGAACUCUCCAGAACAGAGGCCCUGAGGAUUAAGAAAACAGUGAUAAGCCUUUUAAAAUCAGGUCAUGUCUUAGAGCUGAGCACCUGGACAGCAGCACCUGGACCAACGGGACCCUGGGGAGGUCACUGGGGGACGUCUCAUUUUCCCUGUCUGACCAGGAAUACAGGAAAAGGGAAGGGAACCCAGAAACUAAGCCUUUGGGGGGAUAGGAUAUGAUGAACUCUCUAAAACUGCAUUUAGGUUUCAGAUAAUCACAAAUUUACAGAAGAGUUGUACAGCACAAGGACCUUUGUUUUGCAUUUUUAGAAGAAUGAACAGAGUAAGUGGCAGGCUCGUUCUGUAAUCUGCAGACUUCAGCUUGCAUCUCCAGGACAUACUCUUGUGACUGUAACAUCCAGACCUGGAAAGCCCAGGAGGCCCCGUGGAUCUGUCAUUGUCCCUAGUCCCUGCCAGUCGCUCUGCAGGUUGCUCUCCACUGAGCCGGCCCCGGUGCUCCUUGGAGCUCACAUGCAGGUUACAGGCAGCAGCUGUGCUGUCUUCGCCUCUCAUCAGGGGCCACCAGUCCGUGUCCCCUUGUACUCACAUCCCUUUCGGAGACUUGGUUUGAGUGAUUAGCCAGGCUUUUCUGUGAUGAGGGAUUCUCUCCGAAUAAAGAAUAAAAGUCAUCUCAGUAGGUGUGGCACAAGCAUUUGAAGAACUUGGCAUCUGUUCCAUAAAGCUGCAGGCAAAUUGGAUGCAGACAAACAGGGUGAAUACCAGGCAUGGGUGCAGACAGGGUGUAGACAGGGGGGCUGACGCUAACAUCACAGCGAUGUGGAGAGGCCCCUGCUGGCCCGAGGUCUAGGAUGCGACCAAGCACUCGGCACUGCUGCUCCUUGUUCUGACGCAGUUUUAGCUACUGCAACAGGCAAGAAAACAAUAAAGACUUAUAUCUAUUUAUACCA